AAUCUCCGGUUGUUGCGUAAUAUCUUCUGGUAUAAUCAUAUCUCUUGUUAGUCCUAUCUUUACAACUUGUAUAACUGGUUUUAUUUCAUCAUAUAAUAUCUCUGCUGGUGCAGUAUAACACUUUAUAUAAAAUAAAUUUCCUUUUGUUAUUCUUUUGUAGGUGGUGAAUAUCUUGUAUAAUUCUUCCAUAGUUGUUAGCUCUUCUUUGUCUUGAGUAUA
rnacentral:lncRNA from 1 species